AUUGAACGCUGGCGGCAUGCCUUACACAUGCAAGUCGAACGGUAACAGGUCUUCGGAUGCUGACGAGUGGCGAACGGGUGAGUAAUACAUCGGAACGUGCCUAGUAGUGGGGGAUAACUACUCGAAAGAGUGGCUAAUACCGCAUGAGAUCUACGGAUGAAAGCAGGGGAUCGCAAGACCUUGUGCUACUAGAGCGGCCGAUGGCAGAUUAGGUAGGUGGUGGGAUAAAAGCUUACCAAGACGACGAUCUGUAGCUGGCCUGAGAGGACGAUCAGCAACCCUGGUACGGAGACACGUCCCAGAUUCCUACGGGAGGCAGCAGUGGGGAAUUUUGGACAAUGGGCGAAAGCCUGAUCCAGCAAUGCCGCGUGCAGGAUGAAGGCCUUCGGGUUGUAAACUGCUUUUGUACGGAACGAAAAGCCCCGGGUUAAUACCCUGGGGUCAUGACGGUACCGUAAGAAUAAGCACCGGCUAACUACGUGCCAGCCGCCGCCGUAA
rnacentral:rRNA from 1 species